rnacentral:rRNA from 1 species
UACGUAGGGUGCUAGCGUUGUCCGGAUUUAUUGGGCGUAAAGAGCUCGUAGGCGGCCUGUCGCGUCUGCUGUGAAAUCCCGGGGCUCAACCCCGGGCCUGCAGUGGAUACGGGCUGGCUGGAGGCAGGCAGGGGAGAACGGAAUUCCUGGUGUAGCGGUGAAAUUCGUAGAUAUUGGGAAGAACACCAGUGGCGAAGGCGGCUCACUGGCCCGAUACUGACGCUGAGGCACGAAAGCGUGGGGAGCAAACAGG